GCCGGGCGUGGUGGCGGGCGCCUGUAGUCCCAGCUGCUUGGGAGGCUGAGGCAGGAGAAUGGCGUGAACCCGGGAGGCGGAGAGUGCAGUGAGCCGAGAUCGUGCCACUGCACUCCAGCCUGGGUGACAAAGUGAGACUCUGUCUCAA
rnacentral:SRP_RNA from 1 species